rnacentral:sRNA from 1 species
CUGAUCCUUCUCCGAAACCUCUCAGGUUCUCUAUUUUUAAUCAUCUCUUUCUUCUCUCCCUC